ensembl:lncRNA
CUUAGGUCAAGUACACAAGUUUGCAUUAUGUGUUGGGGAAUUAGCUCAAAUGGUAGAGCGCUCGCUUAGCAUGCGAGAAGUAGCGUGAUCAACGCCCGCAUUCUCCACUAAAACUUAAUUAAUUUUGUGCCUGCGAAUAGUGGAAAAUGACCAGAUUGAUAAACAACUGCUGCACAAUCGAAAUCAGCAGGAUGCACCUGCGUGUCGUUGCAAAAUGACUCGUUGAAUGCAUCAAUGCGGUUUUCUUGACGACAUUUCUGCAAACACUGACAUGGUAAGAGAGCAUCAGGUAAAUUCGACGAGAAUGGAAUUCGAACCCAUGCGUGCAGAGCACAAUGGUUUAGCAGUCCAUCAUCUUAACCACUCGGCCACCUCGUCCUAUUUCUUUUGUUUUCAUGGGAUGAUUAAAUGAAUGUCAAUAUUGUAGCAUGUUUUUCAUAUUCCUGGGAAGUUUGUAAAGGCGUUAAAUGCAGGGGGGCACUUAGGUCAAGUACACAAGUUUGCAUUAUGUGUUGGGGAAUUAGCUCAAAUGGUAGAGCGCUCGCUUAGCAUGCGAGAAGUAGCGGGAUCA